UUGAAGUAAAAGGUGGAACUUGUUAAAACUUUUUAAACCACAAAACCGAAGAAUAAGGCAAUGUGCAACGACUUCUGAUUAAUUUACUUUUUGUUUACACAUGACGGACGGGACAAAAAAAGUUGUGUGUAAAAUAAGCUCUAAAAAAUCUAUUCAGACAGGUUUUAAUUAUUAAAGACUUUAACAAUAUUAAAAUUAGACAGUAGAAAUGUAAAAUUCUUAGUUUUAUGUAACAACGUAAGAAAUAAGAUCAACAUUUUAUGUUUGAAACAACGGACUUGACAUAGUGUAAUUAAAACAAAUAAUCUCUUCCCCCACUAACUCUUUAAGUUUUGACUCAUUCUAGCUAGUUAGGUACUGAGAGUCAGUCCUGCUUUCGUUGCGGGAAAUAAUGUUACGUGCCAAUAAUUUACGAAUUUUUGUUAUUGUUUUUACAAUUUUAAACAUCGCCUACAAUCAACAACUUAUAGAAAAGCAAAAAGAACACCAAAAAACGAAAAGACAGCCAGGUGAAAUCAGUAAACAAAAAUGCAAAGAAUAUUUUACAUAUAAACUACGGCUAGUUUUAAUUACGGAUCCUCCACCACGAAUACUUACCCGUACUGUUAAUAGGGAAUUUGUAGACAGGAAACAUUUGGGACACAUGGUGAGUUUUUUAAUUAAUUCUCAAUGGUGUCACAAUGAGUUGAAAAACUACAUUGACCUUGAAAUUAAUUGGAAAAUAUGUAUUUUUUUACAAAAGCCCCCUGACAUAACCUAAAAUUAUUUUCAAACGUACAGUGUUUCAGAAAUGACUGAAAUGAACUGCAAUACAAACUUAUGUUUUUUUUAAAGGUUCACCCUAAAUAUUAUUGCAUUUUUGGAUGUAGCUUUCAAAAACUUGUAUUGGUCGAUUCUGCUUAGUUUUGAAAUAAUUUGACAUUUUGACAAAAACACGCUUUUUAAAAAUUAUUAUACAAGACCUAGGAAUUCCAGAAAAGUAGGACUUGCAAAACUCUAAAACGUAAAGUUCAAACUUAAAUGCAAUUAGGAACGUAAAAAAUUAAGAAGUAUGUUAAAAGAAUUAAAUGAAACACCCUCUUUUUUGUUUUUGUUUCUUAGAGAUUAUCAAAUUGCCUUUCUAAAUACAUCAAGUCUCAAAUGUUAACAUUGCUAAAUGACACGAACGAAAUGAGUUAUGAAAAUGUGUCACAUAUUGCGAGCCACACAAGCCCUUAGACACUUACUUCCCCAAUUUAAAUAAAACCACCAACUUAAUAAUUUUUGGUACUUACUAUUAGAUGAAAAUUUCACUUAAAUAUUAACUAUAAUAUGUAGUUAAUAUUUGUUUUAAUAUUUAAAGUUACAUAUAUUUUGAGUAAUCAAAAGAGACUAUUAAUGUUUUAGGGCCGUUUUUACAAUCGUCCGAUAAACUCCGGAUCCAUGGUAUAAACUUAUACUAGGAAUAAUGGGCAGAUAACGGGCCGAUAUCUAUCAGAUAACUUUUGUCUGUUUUACAAUACAAAUAAUUUAUCCAUGGAAUAAAUGUGACUUUUGAGUAUUA